GAAACGCUGUCGCCAGCUGCACCCACGAGCAAGAGAGGGACAUACACUCAUCGACACACUGUCCACCACGCGCUCUCUGGUUCUUGGAUGCUCGCCGUUUUCUUCUUGCAAGUAAAGAACAACGAGCCUCUGUGCAUAAAGACAAGAUUUAGCGCUCCUUACCAUCUUCGAGGAGACAAAUCUGCAGACCUGUCGUAGGGAGAAAGGAUAAAGGAGAAGCAGCUAGGGAACGUCCCUCUCGCGCCGUCAUCACCUCAAUCGACAGCCACAAGGGGCAGCAACUAUUUUCACCAUUCAUCGCCUUCAACUGGACUUCGUUGGUUCUUUGCCCUUUUUUUCUCGUUCCCGGUCGGUGUGUGUCCCACACCUUUUUCGUUUUCGUUUUCCCGGUGUGCUGCUAUUAUUGGGUUCUUGUGGUCUCCUUUGUGCGUCUCUCUCUUUCCUCCUGACCUCUUUGUGCUUGAGUGAGCUUCAUUGAGAAUGUUUGGUUGUGUUGUCCACGAGUCCUACUUCCCUUUCAGCUCCUUUAGGCACUAUCUUGCGCUGACGUGUGCACGUGUGCUGCCCCUGUAGCGUGCUCGUUUCACUAACGUUCUCCUUUGCGCUGCUUUUCUUGUUCUUUUCCUCCUUGAUCCGCCUAAGCAGGCACCAACAUCUUUUCGAAUUUUUUCUGUUCAAUUUCUUUAUUCUCGCCCUUUAGCUCUUCUGUUUUUUUUUUCCUUUCUACGUUGUUGACGCUCUCGGGCCCGUUCCUGUGUGUACCAUUUUCUCUCAUCGAUUGCUACCUGUGCUUUCUUAUUAUUUGUUUGCUUGCUCUAUGCCUCUGUCCGUGUCUCAUCCUCUUCCUUCUCCUCCACACCCCUUCCUCUCUCUUUUUGUUAAGGCUGCCUUCUUAGUUAUUUUGGGUUUUAUUAUAAGAAGGACGUAGCUCUUUUUUCGUUUUUUUUUUUGUGUUUGGUUGCUGUCUUUGGUGGUUUACCCGUUUAUUUUCUUAGCGGGUGCGGGCUCUCCUCUCUCACUCUCUCUCUGUCACUGGGCGUGCCUUGCGCUUCGCUCGUCGUCGUGCCUGCGCGGAGUACUUCCGCCUCCCUUUAGGUCUCACGCACUCGCGUAUACGUCCGCACAGAGAGACCAGCAAUCAAGCAGACUGAGUAGUGGAGUGGCGCUCAAGGAGGAGCAUACGGACACAAAUCCACACAACAAAAAAGAACAGUACCACACAGUCGUGGCGGCCAGAUAUCCACCCAUCCGCUGUGACACACUGCAUCUCUCUCUCUAUAUAGAGACGCCCUGGCACACACACCUACGCGCAGAUUCAUUCAGGUAUAAGAGUAAAACAUCUUUUGCUCUCUGUCUUUGCGCAGGGGAGGGUUUGUGCGACACGGAGUCCCGAAGCUCAACGAAACACGAGAUCAAAAGGGGACAACAGGAGUAGCAAACCGAAAUCAGAAUACAGAAAGAAGCAAGAAGAAAAGCCAAAAAAGAAACAACCGAAAGAAGGAACUCGGUUAAGAGCUGAGAAACGCCAAGCGACAAGAAGAAGCUGUGUGUUUUCGUGUGGGAGCACAACCAUCGCGAAAGGAAAGUUAACAUUACGUUGCGCUUUCCAGAUUUGUGUGCUCUUCCCUCUCCCGUCCUUUUUUUUUGGCCAGCCUUUUGCUUUUUUGGUUUGAAACUCGACUCGCAUGCGCGUUGCGAGUUUGUGCGAUAACGUUCUGUGCUUGGGUGUGUGCAUGGGUGUGCGUCUAUUUCUUGCUCAGCCGUACUUGUACUUGCUUGUAUAUAUAUAUAUAUAUAGUUUUGCGCCCCUUUCGUUGUCGUCUUUUUUCCGCUGUGAGCUGCGCUCUCGUUUUAUUCCUCGUUGUUUCUCCUUUCUACGUCUCUUUGUUUCCCUACUUCUUGAAUUCGCGGUAUUUUUUUCUUUUUGGAUUACUUGGUGGCCGAUCUCUGGUUGCUGUACUUGUGUCGUUCUUGUGUCUCCUUUUCUGUUUUUUUUUUUUUUCGGAUUCGGCUCGCAUCACAAGCGUUGCUGUCUGUUGCUGUUCUACCUCUGUCGCUUGUGAUUGCGCCUCUGUUGGGCUCAAAGUGUGUACGAGCCCUCUGUCAAUCUCACGCUCUUUUUAUAGGGCAGUGUGGUGGAGAGCCUUUCCUCCUCCUCCUCGCUCUUCUUUAAGUUUGUGUUUUCGCCACCGUGUUACCCGGCGUUGGCGUUUUUCCCCUCGUCUUUGCUCCAUUUUGUGUAUAUCUCGUACUCUCCCCCCGUUCUUGAUUUCUCCCCCUUUUCCCACUCGUUUGCGCUUUUCGCCCCUCCCCCCCGUGCCGCCGCUGCUCGUUUUGCACACAACUUUCUCAUUCCGCAGUUCCCCCCUCUCUCUUAUAUUUUCUGAUUCCGUGUGCGUGUUUUUCGUUUGUUUUUUGUUUGGUGUGUGUCUCCCUUUUUCUUCAGCUGUUUAGUUGUGUUUUGGUUCCAUUCCUGCCCCCUUCUUCCUCCUUUGCCUUAACCCACACGUACCUUCUUGUUGUCAUUGCCCCCCUUUUUCGUUCGUUCUACGUCGGGUGUUUUUUUGGCACCGAUCUACCUCUCCUUUCUUUAGGUCGUUUUUCCCCGAUUUGGUAUUGGGCUCGCUCACCUCUGACCCCACUGCAUCCACUCUCUCACCACCUCGUUUGUUACAUAUAUAUAUAUAUGUAUUGUGUUGUUGUUCUCGAAACAGAGACCCCCCCCCUGCGCGAGACAUUUCUGCGCACCGAUUUGGAAAGCAAACAAGCAUUCACCAAGCAGGGAUUGCUACCACCACCUACCCCACAAGCCGACUUCUUUCUGUACACGCAUUUCUCUCGCACGUUCUCCGCUCCUUUUCUCUGCAGCCCCACCGCCUCGUCACCUAGCCCGUCUAUUUGCAUUCGCUUGCUGACUGCCUAUCCUGUUGCUCCUUUGUUGGAUUUUCUGUUUUCAGGGGUGGGGUUGCGUGCCGCUAAACCGUUGUGCCCCCACGGUGGCGGAAGAGGAGAGGCCACAGCGGCGCCGCAGCGGUCCUCUUUCAACGACAGCUACACGCAAAGAAAGACUGUGCUGGAAGGGACAGCAAAGUCACAGGGGGAAACGAAAGCAGAAGAAUCGGAAGCAGUUUCUGUUUUCUUGUCAACGGGUUUUCACUCAGCGGUUCCGUUGGUAUGAAAACUUUUUUUUCACCGUUUUCGAAUUUCCUUUCCUUUGUCGUUCUUUCGACUCCUUCUCAUUAUCUCCACCUCUUCUCUCCUCCCGUUUGCUGAUCCGUCAGAGCCCAAUAUCCUCGACUCUUUCCUGCCCCAUAUCAGUGGAGCAUCGUGAGACGCCGCGAAAAAAAAGUGUGCUUUCUUUUUGCUUGUCUUUACGAGAGUGCCCGUGCUGCGUAUCUCUUUCUUUGGUUCGCGUUUCAAAGAAGUCUUCGAGGUAGACGAGGGACUCCAGCAACAGGCGAAGAACGGGCGAAACAAUACGUAAAGACACACAAAAAAAGAAAAAACACAAGUAAGCACAAAAGAAAACCCCGCACAUAGUGGUGAAGAGAUUGACAGCACGCAUACCCUUCCCCCUUCUUCCCCCCACACACCACACACCACACACACACACACACACACACGUGCAUACGGCACUGAAAGACGUCAAGAAAAAAAAAGAACUUGCAACAGUAUCACUUGGCCUUGGUUUUCUUUUAUAUUUUCUCUCCUCUCCUCCUAUUCGUGUGCCGCGCCGCAUUUUAUCUUCUCUGCCUCUUAUAUAUUUUAUCGUGUCUGCUCUGCCCUUCUCUCUCUAGUUUUCAUUUUCCUAUCUAUCUAUUCAUAUUACAGCCACAGUACUUUUUUUCUCCUUGCUUGGCCGCUGUUUCACUUUCUUCGUGAGUAUCUGUCCUGUAUUGAGUGCUCACUCUUGCCCAUCCCUCUUUUUCUAUUUUUUUUUUCAAUUUUGGUUUGCGUGCUUUGUUGGAGGAUAUUCUCCAUCGCUUGUCUCUUGCUUCGCCGCCUCCUUUCGCCACCCAUUUCCCCAUUUUUGACACGCCCGACUGACAACGCACACCAACCAGACCGGCACGCAAGAAAGACAACGGAUAGGCGAAACAAAAAAGGUCCUCACGCAGACGUUAUCAAGAGCAGCAAAAACAAACAAACCAAUAAACAACCACCUCAGGACCACCUCCUCUCCCUUGUUGAUUCUUCUACUGCCGAGUAGCCCUUGGUGUGCUUUAUUUUUGCCUUUUUUUACUGUUUUGCUCUUAAGUCCUUCCACUUCUCUUAUCUGUCUACCCUGCUUGUACUCUUUUUUUUUUGACUUCGCUCUGGCCUUUUUCGCUUUCCAUUCUCUCUCGGUAUUCCGCAGCCACGCUGCACCUCCUUUUUCUUGUUAUCGGUGUCCCCUGAGCGUAGGUCUUUUCGUGGUGCAGUGCUUGUGUGCGCGCACUUUUUUUCUCCUUUCGUGUGCCCUUUUUAUUUUCACCCUCCUCUCUCAUUCUCUCUCACCAUGAAGACACACCACAUGCAUUCGAUUGUGACGGCUUCGCCUAUUCCCAUCGAUGUGGAGCAGCAGCAGCAGCAAUCGCAUCCGCGUAGGCGAUCCUCCUCCUCGCCGGGCACCCCACCAAUGAGCGCAACAAAGCUGCGCCAUUCGCCCGGAAUGGCGGUACCCACAUCGAGCCAGUCACCGAUGUCUGUGCACAUACCUGCGGGAGGAGGCGGGGCCCACGCAGGUUUUCCAGGCCUGUCGGCAGGCUACGUGCAAUCGGCAGAUGUGGUGCAGUCCUCAAUGAUGGUGCCUGCCAAGGAGCUGGCUCCGCGCCAGUACACGCAGCAGCAGCUCCGCACGGACGCCAUCCGUGGCCGUUCCCCGACUAACUUCGGCGCCGCUGGUGGUAUGGCGGGCUCUCGCCCGAUGCCGACUCUCUCGGUGGAGCGUCUUGGCGAGCCGGUGCUGAUGCCAGGACCCCCUGGCACGACGGCCUGUGCGGCAAUGGCCAUGAACUUUGUGACCCCCCUCUCCGGCGUGCUUGACACACCGUCGACGCCACCGUCGUCUGCCACCACGCCAGGCAACACGAACUUCUCGAUGAGCGAAUACCCGGGCCUAAUAUCGACGUCGCCCGUACCAACUCCCGUGACGCCGACGGAGCACAGCAGCACGAACUUGAUACUCUACAACAUUGGCCCCCACAUGACAGAGGCUGCCUUGCACACCUUGUUCGACCCGUUUGGCGAGGUGGUGAGUUGUGCUGUGAUGCGUGACAUUCACACAGGUGCAGGCCUGGGUACCGCCUUUGUGCGCUAUUCAGAACACAUGGAUGCGUGCCGCGCGCUGGAGGCCUUCAGUGACCGCACGAACCCUGUGUGCGUGCAUGAGUCGAAACCGCUGGUGGUUCAAUGGGCGCGAAAGCAGCACGACGGUACCCCCGCCGGUGAAGCCCGCAAGAAGAUCAUGAAGCUGUUUGUGCGCAACAUUCCCCUCGACUGCUCCAUCGAGGAUUUGGAGGAGCUGUUUGGGGCGUACGGCAGUGUGCGCCAGGUGACGCUGCACAAGGACACGUCGCCGGUGCAGGAUGAGGCGAUGGUGCGGCUGAUUGCGUUUGUGAUCUACACCGAGGAGGGCGCGGCGGAGCGGGCGGCGCGGGAGGUGCACAACACGAAGCCGUUCGCGUCGUGCAACGGCAUCCCCAUCAUGAUUAAGCUGGCGGAGAGUAGCCAGCGGCGACGGUUCUUGAAGAACGCGGAGGCGACUGGGCCGAUUGUAUCGUUAGCAGGCCCGAUCGGGCUCCCGGCUGUGCGUACGUCGCCCAUGACGCCUGGCAUGUCCAGCUCACCGUUCGACAUUGCUGCGGCCUCGCAACAUCAUCAGCACCUGCAGCAACAGCAGCACCCGACUGCCUCUCAGCAGGGCAUGUGUGAAACUUAUAGCUUUGAAGCAUCCCCGUCAUCGUACAGCAUGCCCGUUUUCGAUGGCACCGCUGCGUACGCGCCGCCAGAUCCUCGCGAGGCAUCCACGGGCAGCUACCAAGGCACGCCGCAACGGCUGCAGAUGAGCGUCUCUGGCGGUGGCACUCCGGCUUCUGUGACUCCGCUGGCGUCGAACAUCGUGGGAGGCUCACCGGGUCGGCAUCAUUAUCCAAUGCCGACUUACGUAGGUGAUAGGGAGGGCCGUGUUAGUCCUCACUCCUCGUCGGUUGCCGCGCCGAUGCCGGCGCACUCUUAUCGCCAGGCCGCCUCCCUGUCCUUUGACGUCAACGCUGCCGCCGCUCAUGGUGGCCUCUCGGCCCCCUCGAAGCCAAGCGGCCAGAAUUUGCCUGAUGGGAUGGCGGGCGCUGGCGGUGCGGGCGGUUACCCAAGCGGCAGUUUCUUGUAUUUCAGUAGUAGCCCGAGCGACGCAAAAUUCACGACCGCCACAGCUGCGUCUAAUGGUGGGUCUCCGCAGGUGCCGGCCAGCGGCCCGUGGUGCGAGACCACCGGCGAUGACCCCAAUCAGAGCAGCAGCCUUGUGGCAUCGACGCAGCCUACCCGAAAAGGCAUGGAGGCGAGCUGUUCUCCGCCAGCCGCUGGCUCAGCCCCACCACCAGGGCCGCUUCGCCCGGGCUCCACCCCGUCAAUGAUAUUCUCCAGUGCCCAUGGCAGCCCGCAGCAGAGCACUGGGCUCCAUCGCACCUCUCCAACAAGCAUGACUGCACCGGGCGCUGUUGCGACAAACCGCCCCGUGCCCGGCGCUUUCGUGCCGAUAGGUGUUCCAACGAAUGCAGCUCCUCAGUCGGCUACAAGGCUGCCCGUUGCGAGCAGCGGGAGUACUUCCGACAUGAACUCUACCCUACCCAGCAACAACUUUGGCAGUGGCACCACGCCUAUCAGCGGUGCGGCGCACAGCACGGAGUCGCCGACGGUGCGCAUGGGUCCGUCCGAGUCGUGGCGCCGUGCUGUGCGGACACACGUGCACAACGCAAAGCGGCAAAAUGAACGCCUCAACAUGAGCGGCUCCCCGCCAUCCAUGCCCUCGAUGAGUGCGAGUUGCAGCGUCCUAGCACCGGCGGCUUCACCACCGACGGCAGUACGAAAAGGAAGUAUGCUCUCCAUCAGCUGCAACGAAGCCUCCGCCCCUAGCACCACACCGCCCACGUCGCCCAUCUCGAACUCGACGCUGUCAGCUGAUCAGGCUGGCACGAAGCUCACCAGCACAGGUACUCCUUCAUCGGGGCGGAUGCGAUACUACAACAAUCCGUACUCCUCUGAAAGCACCAAACUUUUCUGCUGAUACCGCCACAAUCCACAUAUAAGCUCCGUGGAGCCUUCGACAGUGAGAGUGGAGGAUCGGAGGGGGCGUUCAUUGCCAACACCCGCAGCAGAAGGCGGGCCUCAACAUGCAGCUCGCUGCUGAGGUGCGUUCAUUUGACCACUUUUUUGCUCUUAUCUGCAACGGACGUAAGCAAGAGCAACGGCGUGACUUUUUAGCAAACACGACACCAGUGGUGGGAUGACCUUUAUAGUAGGUUGCUGGGGGCGGGAGGAAGAGUGCGAGGGGAGGUGAGACCGGCGGAGCCGACAGCACCCGUAGGUGAGUGUAUGCUUGUAUGCAGGCAGCGCAGACGACUGCGUCAGCCUGCCACAGCGCAAGGGAUGACAUGGUUUUCCUACACCGGCACUCUUUCGCGCUUUAUACUUGCACCCCAACUCGUGCCCUUCUUUGCCGCAGGUGAAGCGCCGUCAUUUUCUUUUCAGAGUACCUUCAUGCACUUGAUACUUCGUUUUUGGCUCUCAUGUGCAGGCCCCUCGCUGCCCAGUCGUUGCUGUCUUUCCCUCGCCUCUUUCUCUCUGUCUGCCCGUCUCUCGGUAAUGUAUCUUCCGCUUGACAUCUUCUUUUCGUUAAUACGGCCUUUAAGGCGUUUUCGUUUCUCCGGCUCCUUCCUCGUCGUGUGUUUCGUCGCCACCCUCUCCCCCUUUUUUGCUCUUCCUUUUCUCCUUUUUUCUCUCGUUGUUGUUUCCAUUACCGUCUUUGUCCUCCCUUCCCUUCCACACCGUGAGCUCGGUGGCCGCGGUGGUCGCUGUCUGAAGACAUCCGCGGCCCCCCUCCUUCAUCUUUGCUCGCUCUUUUGCGUUUCCCUACCGGGGCAGCUCUCACACGGGGGCAUGCAGACAUGGAACCCUACUGCGCUCCGCACGCACACACGCGCCUCUUUCAUGCAGGGUGGUUGCCUGCGCUUCUAAGCGUCCACUCCCUCACGGGCUGCGGGCGCACUCCCCGGACGAAGAAAAACGAGCGGCAUGCAGGCGGCGACUCGCCCGCUUUGCGAAGCUCCGUUGCUCGCUGGGAAGAGAUGGCGCGGCGCACAUAGACAUCCAGCCAGGAGCGCCCGCGAUGCGCCACGGUAUAGCACCCAUAGAUGCAGCGACAAGACGCUGCGGCCGCGCCUCGUCUGCAGCGAUGGCGCUGAGUGCGAAGCAACGGAGCUGGGGCGCGACCCUGGGGCGAGGACACCCGGAUCGGCCAAGGCACAGGCAGACAAGUGUGGCUCUUGCCACGGACUCGGUCAUCGGUCUCAGGCGUCAGGCCGACAUCCCGCGAAGCCGCGCUGCACGAGGCGACGGGAGACCAUGCUCGCUCAGUCCCGCACCAGCGCCUGCCCGCGCCGCGGAUCCCUGCAACGGCGGGUGACUGGCAGUGGCGGCAUGGGGUGCGGAUGGUGUGCUGCCUACUGCUGCGCUGGCGCAUGCUUCUCCGCGGGCCCCCUUCCUCUCCACACACCCACGCCUGCGAAAGGCCUGUGGGCUCAGCAGAGGGCGGGAUGUCCCCUGCUGCCUUGCCACACACGCAUAGCGGCGCCCCACCUGUGGGACGGCACGUGUGGUCAAGCGGGCCAGCCACGCCCUCUCCCCCACCCCCAGGCAGCAGCGUCGUCCUGAAACAGGCACCGAGGGCGCAGGAAUGCGAGCACUGUGCGCAGGUGCUGCCAAGCACAGCCGGCAUGCCGUAUCACACCCAGACAAGGCAUGCGCACGUGAGCAGAGCAGGAGCGAUGGGCGAACAAGGCGCGAGGAGACCCAAUAUACGAAUCAGCCGCCCCCCCUACUCGGCGCAUGUGUGCGGAGCGUGCGGUGACCUCUACGUCCGGCCGGGCCUGCGCUGAUGAGGCGCAGAUGCCGGAAGCAUGACGGGGGCACCCUCGAAUGGCACCAGCGAGUCCUCCAGACGCGCAUGAGGCGAGUCCCCACGCCACAUUACGGCAUGCCGCGGCUUGUGGCGACCGAGGGAGAGGCAUGGCAUGCAGGCAGGGCGUGCAAGGUCUCGGAGGGCCCUGGCCUGCGUGUGGCCGACUUCCUUGCUGCGCUCGCCCGGCAUGCCCCCUUGAUCGCCACCCCCUUCUACCCGCACGGCAGACGCCACGGCCUCCGCCCACGAGCGGGACCCUGAAGGCGGCCCUGCUUGGAUCAGGGCAUGCGGUCCACCCAUGCGCGUGUGCCGCCGGGUGGCGCGGCAUGCGUGCGGGGGAGGGCAAGAGAAGCCGAUGGGACGCAUGGCCCGAUUUCGACGGCAGAACUGCUCGUCCUGGUCGACGCGGAUGUGGCGGCAGUGCGACAGGGUGGCGUGUGAGCUGUGGUUGAAUGAUAUAUUUGCCGACUUGCCCGUGACAGAGUGCCAGGAUGACGGUAGAGGGACGAUUUGCGCGGCAAGGACGUGGUGUGCGUGGGUGCUUUGUGAACCUGUCUGUGCUUGUGGGGACUCCGAUUGUGUGUGCUCGUAUCUCUGUGUGGGCUGCGUUUUCGGGUUCUUUCUGCAGCGCUGUUUUCUGUUUUGUUGUCCGCCCAGGCGCAUGCUGACCCCCCACGAAUGGGCUUGUUCUCGUUGCAUUCGCCAGUCCAUCUUACUCGUUUUUGGUGUUUUUGUCUCUUUUCGUUCUCGGCUGUUGUAGGCUCGGCGUCGUCUCCCCUUUUCGCGCUUUAUUCGCUUUUCAGUGAUCUCCCUCGUCUCGCGAUCAUCUGACGUCUUUGCUCAGCAGUGGCUUCGCUAAGGCGGUAUUUCUUGUGCUGUGCAUGCUUGCACUCGGGAUGUUUUAGCCUGUGUUUGUCUUUUUUUGCAUUAGUCUUUGUAUGGUGCGCUCAUUCACUUACUUUUGUGUUGUGCUCUAUGUUUCGACGAGGCCCGAGCGUACCUGUCGAACCCGGAUAUGCUCUUCUCCUUGUUAGCCUCCACUGCCUCUUCUGCGUGAAGCUCUUCUUUCCCGGCGCCUGUAGCUUCCCAUGGCCUACGCCCCGCACUCUGUGUCUAGUCCCCGUCAUGCGUUGCUGUAUUCGGCUUUGCGUUCUUUCCAAUGGAUACAUGUGCUUUAUGCUUCUUUUUUUUUGCUGUUCUAUGCAUACAGACGUGCUUGUGCUCGACCCUGGUGCUCCCCCUUCCGUACUCCUGGCCCAUUCGCGUGUGCACAGGGUUAGGUGAGCACGCGCGCGUUCUCUGCCUUCCCUCUCUUUUUUGUUCUUCUUUUGCUUGACUUUGUCGUGUGCAUGCGCUUUCGCUCGUUGCCUUUUUCUGUUUCGGGUGUCUGUCUUUUUUUUUUGUCUGUGUGCGUUCGUUCGCUGUGUGUCUUUCACUUGUGAUGACUGUCGAUCCUCCUCACGUGUGGGGUUCGUCUCCGGCAUCCUCGUCCUCUUUUUUUUUCCUCCUCUUAAUCCUUUCCCUUUUUGUUGUCCUCCUUCCUUCUAUGUGCUUUCCGUCUCCCUCACUAUCUCAUCAGGUCUCUCAUAGGCUUUUUGUUUUGCCUGUGCUUUUCUCCAUGAAAUGUGGGUACGGCAUCCAAGUGCGCGGAUCAGUGUGCUUGUGCUCUUGCGCUUGCGACGACAGCAACAGCAGCCAUGCACUUGCAGGCGGCCACUCCCGCGAAAAUAAAAACAAAAAGAGACGCAGUCAAAGAAGAAAAACACACAAAAAAAAAGACAUGAGCGCACUGCACUUCGACAUGCGCACCAGCCACGGUCCUACAUGGACUCAUAUGAGAGACACCUUGUCUUUGUUCUUUUCGUAGCGUUCGCCCAGUCGCUUUACUUCAGCGACUCGUUCUCCGUUUCACUUUUUCCACCCCUGUGCUCCACCCUCAUUGCCUUUACAGUUCUCGUUUCCGUGUUAGGUCUUCCCCAUCGAGCCCACGCACGCGCAUCUCCGCGUUUGCCGGUGUUCAGCAGCGUUCCUGUCUGUCUGUGCCGCGCGCAUGCGAGGCCUUUGUGAGGAUGUGGCAGGACGACCUCUUCACCAAGGAAAAGGAAAGUAGGGAAGAAGAUGUGAGGAAAGACAUACGACGCACCGAAAGCACCCACCGACCACCAGUCAGGAAAGGACACCCUCUAUAGGCGUUACUCGUGUAUUUCUCGUUUUUUGUUGCUUGCGUGCAAGAGUGCGUUGCAGUCGUCCUUCUUCACGUCUUGUACAAACUGCCCCGCUGCUGUGCAAGAAUCGGUAGAUUCAGGGAUUGCUGCCAUAUUCUUUUCCUUCUCAUCUGACCGUUCUCUACCUUCCCCCUCUUUUUCCGGCGCGUUUCUCUAG
rnacentral:misc_RNA from 1 species